GAGGCCAAAUCACCCUGAAUGCGAUCGACCGCGACAGAUCUCGGAAGCUAAGCAGGGAUUUUGAGCCUGGUUAGUACUGGUAUAGGAUACAGCCUGGGAAUGCCAGUAGUCACAGGCU
rnacentral:rRNA from 1 species